rnacentral:lncRNA from 10 species
GCCGCCUUUACCAUGAAUAGCAUUUCCAUAGCUCCCCAUGGGAUUGGCAAGAUAAUGUUGGGCCUGCAUCAUAGUUUGAAAUCUCCAUCUACCCAAUCCUGUUUCCACCUCCUUCCUUCUACAGAUAUUGAUUCCUGUAAAUAUCCUGUAUGCCAAGCAUGUCUCAAUGUCUGCUUCCACAAAGCCCAACCUGAGACAAUUCGUACCAUUAGUGGUUUGAAAAAGCAUUCAAAAUCUCCUGUGACAUUGAUUCUAACUAAGACAGAAGAAGAGAAGCGAGAUUUACUUUAUUUCCCAAAACAAAAACGAACAGACAAAAUGCAUGGAACAACAGUUCACAAGACAAUGGACAUUAGGCAAUAAAUGACAGUGAUCUCUGAGAGAUAAGACACAAAUGAGAUAAGUAAUACAAUAACCCUAGCUUACAGCCUAGAGAAAGUUUCAAGUUUACAACACAGAGGAACUUAGGCACGGUAGUGGAACGGUCUUCCUGAGUCAAAGAGAUAGAGCUGGAGUUCCAAGGAGGCCAAGGUAGAUAGAAUUUGCAAGGCAGAGUACUGAAAGAUAGAGGGCUGCACAGAGUAAGAAUUCCAGGGACCUACAGAGUCCCACUUGAGGAGGUGCUGCGUACUGAGCAGCACAUGAAUCUGAGAAAACUAAUCAAAGAUGGGAAAAGCAUCAUCCGAAAAGAUUAGAGAAAACCCAAGAGAUCAUACAACGUGACAAUAUUUUGGUUCCCAUCUGUCAGAGUUAACCUUACAAUCCAUGAGACGUGAGCUAGAGUACUCUGAAGGUUUUUGUCUCAUUAGAAGGCAAAAAUACCCACAGAUUAACUGUUGCUCUUGUUCUCCUUUUCCCUAAAAAAGCUUAAAAGGUAUAUCCAAAUAAUAAAAUGUUUAAGUAAUUUAACUGCAAGGCAGAACAGAUACUCAGCACCCACCAGGUAAAAUUCACAAUGUUAGGAAGUAAAAUUUUAAAUAGGUAUGUAGAGAAGAAGGAAAAUGUGUUCAAUAAUGAGAAAAAAAAUCAAACAACUUAAAUUAAACCAGAGAUAGCACAGAUAAUAUAAUAGGCUAAGACAUUAAAAGAGUUACUAUAGCUCUUUUAUAGCACUAUACCACUUGUUCAAAAAACUAAAUCAAAGAUAAACAUGUUAAUUAGACACAUAUACUUUUUAAAAACUUCUACAGUCGAAGACUACGAUGUAAAAUAUUGCAUGAGAUUAAUGAUGAAUUAGACAUGGUAGAAUAAAAGACUAAUAAUUAGUAUCAACAGAAAUCAUUGAAAAUAAAACAGAGGGAAAAACAAACAAAAAAAAGUAGUGGACAGAACAUCAGUAGCAGUGGGAGAACUUCAAAAUCCUGAUAUAUACAAUACUGGAGACCUCAAAGGAAAUGGAAAACCAGAAAAGAUGUUUGAAAAAACAAUGGCCAACUUUUUUCCAAAUGUGAUUAAAACUAUAAACAUGAAGAUCCAAGUAUCUCAAUCAACCUUGAGCACAAGAAAUAUGAAGAAAACUACAGCAAGUUUUGUACAUCAUAAUCAAGUUUCUCAAAGCCAGUAAUAAAAAUAAAAUCUUAAAAGCAGCAAAAAAAAAAAAAAAGACACAGUACAAAAAAAAAAAAAAAAGACACAGAGAUAAGGAAAACUACCUAUUUCUUGUCUAAAUGCAAACCAGAAGAGAGUGAGGCAACAUUUUUAAAAUAAUAAAGGAAAAACGUGAUAGCCUAGAAUUAUAUACCCUGUGGAAAUUCAAAAAGACUGGCAAAAUAAAGAACUUUUAAGAUAUAAAAAAGCUGGGGCCGGGCAUGGUGGCUCAUACCUGUAAUUCCAGCAAUUUGUGAGGCUGAGGUGGGAGAAUUGCUUGGCCCAGAUGUUUGAGUCCAGCCUGGGCAACAUGGCAAAAACCCAUCUCAAAAAAAAAAAAAAAAAAAAGCCAGGCGUGGUGGUGCAUGCCUGUAGUCCUAGUACUUGGGAGGCUGAGCGGGGUGGGUCAUCUGAGCCUGGAGACAGAGGUGGCAGUUAGCCAGGAUUGCAUCACUGCACUCCAGCCUGAGAAAUAGACAGAGUGAGACCCUGUCUCAAAAAAGAAAAAAGAUAUAAAAAAGCUGAAAGAUUCUUUCACCAUAGAAGAUUACUAUGAGAAAUGUUGAAUUAGGUACGGAAAGCAGAAGGAAAAUGAUAUCACAUGAAAUCCACCACUGAUACCCUUUCUUCCAGUUGAUCGAAUCAGCUACUGAGGCUUGUGCAUUCGUCACGUAGUUCUUGUGCCGUGGUUUUCAGCUCCAUCAGGUCCUUUAAGGACUUCUCAGCAUUGGUUAUUCUAGUUAGCCAUUCGUCUAAUUUUUUUUCAAGGUUUUUAACUUCUCUGCCAUGGGUUCGAACUUCCUCCUUUAGCUCGGAGUAGUUUGAUCGUCUGAAGCCUUCUUCUCUCAACUCAUCAAAGUCAUUCUCUGUCCA